GGGCGGCAGCGUCCGGACGGGCCGGGGGGCGGAGAGCGGCGAGCGGCGAGCGGAGCCACCCAGGCGCCCCUGCCCUGGCUCCGGCCCCCACCCCGGUCAUGGCCGCCGAGCGCCCCCCGCGCGGCCCCCGCCCGCCCGGCACUGACCGAGCUCUCGAGGUGUACGCGCCCGCGCCGCCUCUGGAGGGUGGGAAGUGCCUUUGCUUCCAAGGCCAGGGAAGAAGGAACAGCAAUCUGAGAUUUUACAAGAUAAAUGCAACAGCAAGAAGUUACUAACAACGUUGGUUAUAAGCAAAGAGAAAACAGGUAGUAAAGCAAAAAGAAGAACCUCAAAGUUAUAAUAUGCCAGGUGGUUGUGAAACAUGUCUGUGCAUUUUCUGCCAAAAUGUUUGUUCUGGCUUUUGUGUUCAGUCACUGUUAAAUUAUAUAGUGUUUCAGUUACUGUGUACAUCCCUAAGUAUCCUUUUUUGUUGUUAACUCCAAAACAAGAAGGGUGUUUGUUAAAAUGGAUAUUUUUUUAAAGUAUAAAUUAAAAUUUAAUUUAGCAUGUCUUUAAUUUAAAUAGAAUUUAAAGCACAGCAUAGUCUAGGUUUUAGCGUUGUCAUUAUAAUAGUUUUUAACAACUUGUGAUAAAAAUUAUAGAGUUCGGAACUUAAUAGGAAAUGUAAAAAUAUCUGAAUUUUCAGAUCUUGAAUAAAAUUUGCCAGUCAAUGAAGUAAAUCUGUCAUGUAUAUGUACAAAUGGAAUAACUCAUAGUAUAUUUAAAUGUUGAUUGAAUUAGUUAGGUAAAGUGAGUGUAGGUAUUAAUUUAUCUUCAUUGUUCACUUUGUGUGAAUUCACUUCAGAAACUUAAGGACAGAGCAUUUGUCAUAUUCCUAAUUCAGCAUGGCCUAACUAUGACCAACAAGGUGAGGGGCAGUACACACCUCCUCUGGCCAAGCUCCAUCAGAAUGCACUGCAUGAGCUGCCUACUCAAGGUGACACUCCAGCAUGAGCUGCCAUUCAGAACUUGGAAACCCAACCAAUAUGGAUAAAAGUAUCAGCAGUAAUGUCUGUCUUUAGUUUUUGCAUUUCAGUAGUUCAGAUUUCACUGAAAAUUCUUUGGGAUCUUCAGCACAUGGAAGAUUAGAAUCAGUAAUUUAGUAUUAUAAUGAAGACUAAUUAAGGCCUUUCCAAGAUACCAGAAGGUGAUCAAGGGAAGCUCUCUUCUUCCUUUGCAAGUCUAGUCUGGUGCUAUCAGAUUAAAUGAAGCGCAACUCAUGGUUAAUGAAGUUUUUACUAUUCUAUUAAAAUAAAAUUUAGUCUCUUAAAAUGCUUCCCUUUCAUACACAAUUUCUGUCCAUACUUUGUCUAUUUUAGCAUAAUCAUAACCCAUAUUUAGCCCAGAAAAAUGUUUUUAGAUUUUACUAAUUUCAAAACAUUGUCAAGUAGACACACAAGUGUAUCUUCUCUAUGUAUUGACAGCCUCAUUCACAUGCCUAUAAGUUCAUCUAAGACUCUUUCCACUUAUGCACAGAAAACAAAUGACCUUUCAGGGAAAUACCUAUCAGUGUUUUAAUCAAUGCUGCUGCUUUUUGGUUAGGAUUAUUAAAAAUCUCAAACAUUAAUCUCCUAUGAGUGCAGAACGACAGUCAUUUUAGAUACUGGUUUCUUUGGAGUCCAGUCGAUUUGUAGGAGUACAUACUGGAGUGAUUAAUGAGAUUUCAGUAGCUUUUUGCAUAGCUUCCUACCUGAAGCAAAUAAAAUAAAAGUUAACAAACAAACAAAAACCCCAAACCAGCAAGGGCAAAUUAGUUGUGUGCCUUUCACUGCUUCCUGUAAAAUCUUACACUGACUCCUAAAGGUUUCAUUUUGCAUGAAAGCUAUUUAAGCAAGAGUUUUAGCAGAUGAAGAAGACAUUCCAAGAACUUGUGAACGUUCCUUAGGUUCUGCCUUAUAAAGUCUGUUAGGUGUGCUUGGCACAGGCUGAGUCUGACCCUGAUUUCCAAGCACGUGAACGGCCAAAAUAAAAUGCCAUUUCUGUAAUACUUUUUUCCCCUUUUUUUGAAAGUGUAUAUUAGGCACACAUCUGAAGAAACAAUAUUUUACUCCUUUAUUUUAAGUUUAGGUAGCAGUCACAAGAGAUUAGAUGCUGUUAAGUGUAAUGAAGCAUGAAGAUUACAAGAUAAAGGAACCAGAGGUUUUUCAGCUCAGUAGCAUCAUUCAGCACAUAAUGAUACAGAUUUUGUAUUUCAGACACAAAUGUCACCUUGGGGUUGAAAUCAUGCUGGAUGAAUCUGGGCGAACUUGUUUUAUAGUCAGCCACUGGAUCCCUUAGCUCAAGAAGAAGGAAGAAAGAUAAUGAUUCAAUUAACUAAAACUGCUGCUUUGAAAAAUGUGUUUUCCAGUGUAAAACUUAUUUUAUUCAUCCCGAAUUAUAUAUUGCUGAAAACUGUUAACUGUGAUUAAGGAGAAAUAAGUCUGAGGUUUUGGGAGCAUGGCAGGUUUUUCCUGCUGUAAGCUCCACAAUGAUAUUUUCCUAUACUAAUCCUAGAUGGUGUAUAUUUUCCUUUGUUUCUACCCAACUUUCCUUUUUAUUUGUAAUAUAUGUGUGAAAUGUUAAAAAAAUUAGUGCUUUAAGAGCAGUUAAGAUAUUACUACCUCAAAAACACAUCAUUGUUACAUACAGUUGUAUUUGUUUUGCUGAGUAGGUUCCAGCUCAGUUACAGAAGAAGUUACAGAUAAUGCAAAAAAACUGUCUUAGAGCAGCAGCUGUUGCUAUAGGCAGAUUGGCCAAAAGCCUGUCCCUAUAUUUCUUUACAUGGAAACAAAGGGAUAGAUGUAUGUAUUGUCUGAAUAGAGAACUAGUUGUUGUUGUGUGCCUGUGACAAAAAAUACAAUAGUAUUUUUUUGGAAAAGUAUACUUAUUUAUGGAUUUAAAAAAAUUGGAAUAUACCAUGUGUUAAGCUUGUAUUUGAUCAAGAUCAGUUGUUCUGGUAAUGUUCCUUCAGAGGUGAGAGUUCUAGUGACAGGGUAAAGAUACUUCUACAUCUGUGGAAUUUAAAGCCUGCUACUGUCGAGUUGCCAGGACCCUUAAAUGUGUGCUGAAGUGUCCUUCUCUCUUUUAGUAAAUCAAGAAUGUUUAUACUUACUGUCACAAGUAGUAGAAGAAUACCAACAAUUGCUUCUGUGUUUAGAAUUCUGUGGAGUCUGCUACCUGUGAGCAGACUCUGCUUAAAUUCUCUGAAACUACUAAUUGCUAACCUCAUUCUUUACAUACUUCAGCCUCCAACAGCCUGCUGAAACUUCUGUUACACCUUCUGGGAAUCUAUCUAUAGUAAUUUCUUUGUCUCCCCACAUGGCUCCAAGCCAGAAAUAUAUCCAUUUGCACAAAUGCUUCUUAACCUUGCUCAUGGUUUUUUUAAUUUUUUUUUCUUUCUGCUUCUCUGGUUGCUGGAUGCUUUUCUAGUAAAUUCAGUACUUGCCAUGUUUGCUGUGUAAUGGACUGGUGGUUACAAUGCAUUUUCUAAACUACUGUUUGUUUCAGUUUUAGUGCACUGAAUAAAAUUAUUUCUCUGUUGUCAUUUUA